rnacentral:rRNA from 1 species
GAUGAACGCUGGCGGUGUGCCUAAUACAUGCAAGUCGUACGCAUUCUCGUUUCUGAUUGACGGUGCUUGCACCUAAUUGACGAGACAUUGGAAUGAGUGGCGGACGGGUGAGUAACACGUGGGUAACCUGCCCAGAAGUGGGGGAUAACAUUUGGAAGCAGAUGCUAAUACCGCAUAAAAGUCAAAACCACAUGGUUUUGAUUUAAAAGAUGGCCUUUGUGCUAUCAUUUCUGGAUGGACCCGCGGCGUAUUAGCUAGUUGGUAAGGUAACGGCUUACCAAGGCAAUGAUACGUAGCCGAACUGAGAGGUUGAUCGGCCACAAUGGGACUGAGACACGGCCCAUACUCCUACGGGAGGCAGCAGUAGGGAACCUUCCACAAUGGGCGCAAGCCUGAUGGAGCAACACCGCGUGAGUGAAGAAGGGCUUCGGCUCGUAAAACUCUGUUGUUAAAGAAGAACGUAUCUAAGAGUAACUGCUUAGGUAGUGACGGUAUUUAACCAGAAAGCCACGGCUAACUACGUGCCAGCAGCCGCCGUAA